UCGAAACCUGCAUAGCAGAACAACCAGUGAACAUGUUUUAAUCAUUUAUGGGGAAGGGGGGAUUGCUUGCCAAUUCUUCCCCUCCCUAAACGUCACGGGGCUUUCCGUUGUGAUUGCUGCGUGGCACAAUAACCAACCCCCGGCGCGUUAUGCGUCAAGGAAUACAAUCACGAGUUUGCCUAUCAAUGACCGGGUUUCCGGUGCAAGGGUGUGGCACCAAUGUAAGUCAUAAAAUGA
rnacentral:misc_RNA from 1 species